CGAAGCUGUAAUAAGCGAACGUUCCCCCCUCCCCCCAAAAAAUAACCAGCCCUUAUUCUUUGAAACCCUAGUUUCUUUGUCGUCUCCUUCUGCCUCUCGGUUUCUCAAUCCUGUAAUCAGGGGCUCAAUUGGAGCUCUAUAGUAGCUCAAACAAGUUGAAUAUCUACUUCUGCAAUCUUUGUUUCAGGUAUAUUUUUGUGGCAGAGAAUAUGGAUGUCGAUAUUGAUCAUUAUAAUGUUUUAGGGCUACCUUCCGGGGAGGAGGGGGCUAAGCUUACAGAAAAGGAAAUAUCAAAAGCAUACAAGCUGAAGGCUUUAGAGUUGCACCCAGAUAAGAGACCAGAUGACCCAAAUGCCCAUGCCAAUUUUCAAAAGCUCAAGUCUUCAUAUGAGAUUCUCAAGGAUGAGAAAGCACGCAAAUUAUUUGAUGAUCUCCUCCGAGUUAAGCGGGAGAGGUAUGUUCGCGCAUCUCAAAAGGAUGCAAAGAGGCAAAAGAUGGUUUCUGAUCUUGAAGAAAGAGAGCGGGCUGCCUUUGCACCAGACCCUGUUGCCAGGGCUCGGGAGGAAGAGGAUAGGAUCACUAGGAAGCUUAAAGAAGAGAUAGCAAGAAUACGUGCAAUGCAUGCAAAUAAAAGAGCACCUGCAGCAUCUGCUUUAAAGAAAGAGACAGCAGGAGUGACGAAGGAGGGUGCGAGUAAUGUAGAUAGGGAGAAGAUGCUUAAGGUUUCUUGGGACAAUGGUGGUGAGGAUUAUACUUCAGAAAGGUUGAAAGAGUUGUUUUCAAGGUUUGGUGAGGUUGAAGAUGUGGUAAUCAGCAGUUCUAAGAAAAAGCGCUCUGCACUUGUUCAAAUGGCAACUAUAGAAGCAGCUAUUGCUGCUAUGGGAACUGUCUCUGGCAAUCUAUCUAAUCCUCUUCUAAUUGUACCUGUUAAACCAGCUACUGCAACAGAGCUUUCAAGUGUGCAGCAGUCCGCUGAAUCUGCUCGCCUAAAUAAUUUGGUUGGCACUGGUUAUAAAGCAUAUGAAGAUUCCGUCUUAGAGAAACUCCAAAAGGCUGCAGCAGCAAAAAAACCAAAAAUGACAUGCAACGGUAUUUUGAUGUUCAAUGGUGCAUUAAUGCCUGGAUCUUCCCCAGGCAAAAUGUAAAGGUAAUUAAGGAAUGAUGUGCUCCCUUAUGAUCCAACGUUCUCACUUUUUGCAUGAGCACGGUUUUGUACUUUCAAGCUUUGAUUACUGAAGUAGCCCUGCAAGUAUUAGACCAUUUGAGACAUCCUAUAUAACCAAGGGGAAUUGUGUCUCCAUUUCAAGCGUGUAAUGUGACGAACAAGGAACAGUUUUUCCAUGUGUUUGAAGCAUGAUUGCGGGGGGCAUUUUUAGAGUGUUUAUUAGGUUGUUUCCUGCAAAAUUUCUCUUAUAAUAAAAAAGGACCGAAGUAGAAACCAUUAAUUGCAAUGUUGACUGAUUUAGGUCUUGCUGUUGGAUUUGCAGAUCAGAUUAUUCUAUAGCCUUCCAGAUGACUGCUUCACGGGAGUUUGGCGACUCUUUUCAAUAUCUAAAAUUAUUACAAUUCUCCAUUUUUAUUGGUAUAAUUUGGUGAGUCAUUACCAUUGGGGGAGUUGGUAGUACUGAGACCAGGCUUUGGGUUGUAGACUGUACAUUAUGGGUAUCUAUUUUGGGAGAGUAACCCUCGCCUAUCACAUUUCAAAUGCUCAUGUAUCUUAGAUAGCUUUUUUUUUUUGGUGAAA
rnacentral:misc_RNA from 1 species